GUGCCUGUGGGAUGAACAGGUCCCAAUAUUUAGCGCCAUUUGCUCACUUUGUCAGUUAUAUCCAUACAUAUUUAGCUGAUCAUUUAAGAAUGGAAAAUUA
rnacentral:snoRNA from 1 species